UACGUAGGUGGCAAGCGUUUGUCCGGAUUUAUUGGGUUUUAAAGGGUGCGUAGGCGGUUUUCUAAGUCAGCAGUGAAAUACGGCAGCUCAACUGUCGAGGUGCUGUUGAUACUGGGGAACUUGAGUACUGAUGAGGUAGGCGGAAUGGACGGUGUAGCGGUGAAAUGCUUAGAGAUCGUCCAGAACACCGAUAGCGAAGGCAGCUUACUAAGGAGUAACUGACGCUGAGGCACGAAAGUGUGGGGAUCAAACAGG
rnacentral:rRNA from 1 species